GGAUUUCAACUAUUGUUCUAUAAAGCUUUUUGGCCUAUCAUCAAGAAGGAAAUUAUUGAUACUAUGAAAGAAGUUUUCAAUACUUUUUCAAUACCUCGAGAUUGGAAGUAUAUUGUUUUACUCUCAAAAAAAUUAGAGCCAAAAGAGGUCAAAGACUUUCAUCCCAUAAGCCUAUGUGGCACUUUAUAUAAGCUAGCCAC
rnacentral:lncRNA from 1 species